rnacentral:tRNA from 1 species
GCCCGGAUGGUGGAACGCAGACACGGGGAGCUUAAACCUCCCUGCCCUUGAGGCGUGCGGGUUCAAAUCCCGCUCCGGGCACCA